ensembl:lncRNA
UGGAAGCAAUUAAAAUCAACAAAAGAGUAAUGAUAUGCAAGUGGUAUAACAAGUUUCAGUUACAGUAAACAUGACAAGGGUUUAUAGAGAGAGAGAGAGAGAGAGAGAGAGAGAGAGAGAGAGUGUGUGUGUGUGUGUGUGUGUGUGUGUGACCCUGGACCACAAAUGAUUAUGCCAAAAAUCAUUAGGUUAUUUAGGAAAGGUCAUGUUCCAUGAAGAUAUUUUGUAAAUUUCCUACUGUAAAUAUAUCAAGCAUUGUUAAGAACUUCAUUUGGACAACUUUAAAGGCGAUUUUCUCAAUAUUUAGAUGUUUUAUAUAAGUGUGAGUUGUGUUCUGUAUAUGGGCGUGGUUUUGUUGUUAUUGAAGUAGGAGUGGAGAACAGAUACUUCCGUGAAUGCGCACCUGAAUAAUAAUAAUAAUCACCUGAACGCGAAAUUAUACUGAGCGGCCGCCCAGUCACACAACCUUAUUAAUAUUCAUGAGCUAAGCCUUGCGCUUAUUCGCCGAUUAACUGUCGCUUACCUCCUCGCGGCCAUCGUUCAGCGAAUCACAUAAUCCGACUGGGCGGACGUCAGAUUAGCUAAUUAAUAUUCAUGAGAAAAGCUCUUGUAGAUCUCGGCUAAAAACACAGACCUUCACAAACGUCCAUCAGAGAGUUUGAUAUCUACAACGGUUCAACAUGGCAGAUGAAAAGGUGAAGAAGUCAGAGGGCAAACAGGUGGAGGGAAUCUUUGGGUUUGGAAAGAAGGAUAAAGACAAGGAAAAGUGCAAAGACAAGUGUGAUUCUAAGGAUAAAGAUAAGCACAAAGAACACAAAGAUAAAGAACAUAAAGACAAAGACAAGAAGAAGAAGAAAGACAAGGAGCACAAGAAGAAGGACGGUGACAAGUCCUCGUCUUCCUCCAGCGAUUCGGACUAAUGCAAGACUGAAGAUUCAUCUGAUACCUCCAAUAUCAUAAUGUAAAAUCUUUAUUAAAUGAUUUUUGUAGACGUAUAAAUGCAAUAUUAUGCAAUGUAGUGGGGAAAAAUCAAUCUCUUGAAGUUUUCAUAAAGUUUUUGAGCUGUAAUUACAAACAUCCACAAGGUGGCGCUACUUACAUGUCAAAUCCUCAGUGAGGCACUGGAAUAAAGAGACUUAUCAGCUAUUGUGUGUGAAAUUGUUUUCUGGUUUAAUAUAUUAUGAGGUUUGAAAUAAUUUUUCACCCAUUUUGUCUGAUAUUAGCUUUCAGUGAUUGCUGGUUAGUGAACUCUUUUUGUUUUGUUAAAUCUUGCCCAGUUUGUUGUACAAAUGUAGGCCAUGUUUGAUCAAUUUAUGUAUGUAGCUAAUAAUCGAUUUUAAAGCAUUCAGCACAAAUGAAUGCAUAUAUAUUAUCAAAAUAAAGCUUUAUCUAGUAACGUAGUUCAUUAGAAAUAGGUUAAAGUGGUUAGGUUAUCCCGCAUCCUCUGAGUUUCACCAUGAAAAUGGAAAAAGUCAGUUGUCAACACGACAAUAUCUUUGUCUGAACAGCACGCUUAUGCAAAUGCAUGGUUGAUUUUGAAGGUUUCAGCACAGAUCUGUCUCGUUUGAGCACGAUUUGUUUGCUUAUUCAUCUAUGUUUGAGUACGGCACAGAUAAUUCAUCUGAACAGCAGGGACGAAACGCGGCUGCUUCCAAACUCUGUUUUGGACGUUCUUUGCUGGGCUGAAGACAACUGUAUGCCAGAGAUAAGAGAACAGGACGAUUGUUGCCCAGAGGCGGAAGAGAGGGAUAUUUCUCUCUGUCCAUCAGACUGAGACAGUCUUUCUCUCUUAUUCUGUGCCAAACGCCUGCAGGAUAAAUGCAAAGCACUGUGUUGCAUUUUUAUUUUAUAUUUUCAGCCACACCCUGUCAAUCUUUCACAUGCAUAUUUCAUCAAACACACUGAAGAUGCUGAAAGUUUAAUCGGGGGAAAAGUUGGCUUGUUUGGGCGGUUGGAGCUGUUCAGUGCGGUCGGGGUCAGAGAUCUGAACAUCAGCAGAAUCUCAGCAGCAUCUGCUGCUCUGCACAUUUCUCACAGAAGAUGGAUGGAAAUGCAGAGAAGUUUUUCUCAGGUGUGUGAGGGGUUACUUAGCUGUACUUUGAGGACAAAUUGGUCCCAGAAGUAACUAAAUCGGGCAAAAUUUGACUGCGGUCAAAAAAUUAAAUUGCACGUAAAAUAAAUGAUGUUGUUGUAUUCUUUGAGGGUUAAUAUUAAUUAUUAUAUUAGAAGUUAGGUGUAUGUGUGUGUAUGGAGUGCCACAUCUUUAAAAAUUAAAUUGAACAUGAAUAAAUAAAUAAUAAUUUAAAUAAUAAAUAAUUAAUUACAUUUAGUGAAUGAAUACAUUUAUAAUGGAUUACUUUGUUUUCCUUUAUUUUAUUUCUGUAUUAACUUUUUUUGCUUUAUUUUUU